CCUACGGGUGGCAGCAGUGAGGAAUAUUGGUCAAUGGACGAGAGUCUGAACCAGCCAAGUAGCGUGAAGGAUGACUGCCCUAUGGGUUGUAAACUUCUUUUAUAAAGGAAUAAAACGAGGCACGUGUGCCUUUUUGCAUGUACUUUAUGAAUAAGGAUCGGCUAACUCCGUGCCAGCAGCCGCGGUAAUACGGAGGAUCCGAGCGUUAUCCGGAUUUAUUUGGGUUAAAGGGAGCGUAGAUGGGUUGUUAAGUCAGUUGUGAAAGUUUACGGCUCAACCGUAAAAUUGCAAUUGAUACUGGCAGUCUUGAGUACAGUUGAGGUAGGCGGAAUUCGUGGUGUAGCGGUGAAAUGCUUAGAGAUCACGAAGAACCCCGAUUGCGAAGGCAGCUUACUAAACUGUGACUGACAUUGAUGCUCGAAAGUGUGGGUAUCAAACAGGAUUAGAUACCCGUGUAGUC
rnacentral:rRNA from 1 species